rnacentral:rRNA from 1 species
GUCGAGCGGGCAUAGCAAUAUGUCAGCGGCAGACGGGUGAGUAACGCGUGGGAACGUACCUUUUGGUUCGGAACAACACAGGGAAACUUGUGCUAAUGCCGGAUAAGCCCUUACGGGGAAAGAUUUAUCGCCGAAAGAUCGGCCCGCGUCUGAUUAGCUAGUUGGUGAGGUAAUGGCUCACCAAGGCGACGAUCAGUAGCUGGUCUGAGAGGAUGAUCAGCCACAUUGGGACUGAGACACGGCCCAAACUCCUACGGGAGGCAGCAGUGGGGAAUAUUGGACAAUGGGCGCAAGCCUGAUCCAGCCAUGCCGCGUGAGUGAUGAAGGCCCUAGGGUUGUAAAGCUCUUUUGUGCGGGAAGAUAAUGACGGUACCGCAAGAAUAAGCCCCGGCUAACUUCGUGCCAGCAGCCGCGGUAAUACGAAGGGGGCUAGCGUUGCUCGGAAUCACUGGGCGUAAAGGGUGCGUAGGCGGGUCUUUAAGUCAGGGGUGAAAUCCUGGAGCUCAACUCCAGAACUGCCUUUGAUACUGAAGAUCUUGAGUUCGGGAGAGGUGAGUGGAACUGCGAGUGUAGAGGUGAAAUUCGUAGAUAUUCGCAAGAACACCAGUGGCGAAGGCGGCUCA